AUCUUGUAAACUCGAUCUCCAAAGCUGUGUAAGAAAGGUGUAAGGAAAAACAUCAUUCUGCAUAAUGCAAGCAAGAUGUCAACCAGAUCCAAUAAAAAAUGAACCUUGGAAGACUGAUUAAAUGCUUUAACAUGCAAACAAUAAUCAUAACAGGAAAACACUAGAUGACACCAGAAACCAAGCACACAGAACCCAAAAGGCAAACAUUUGAAAAACCAGUCAGGCUCAUCCAAUUGAAUUCUUAAUCAAUAGUCAGAGAGUUUGAGUGGCAAAUAAAGCUCCAGUUACUCCAGUUCUUUACAUUAUCCUCACAUGCCUAAGACACUUUUCAAACACCUGGAACAAGACACAAGUACUUUGGCACGAUCUUCCAAAUACAAGCAAAACAGAUGAAAAAACUGAAUAUAGUCAAGUUUGAUGGGGGUAUGCAUCUAACAUUCUAACUUGUUAAAAUCCAAAUUUUUAGGCACAAAUAAUUGGUUGAAGUUACAUGUAUCCAUUCAUUACAAUUAUGAAGGGUUUUUUUUCCCCAGUUAGCCUCAUGUUUCAAAUUGCACAGCAACAAAAGAUAAAGUUCUUAUGGGAAAAAAUUUUGUUGGCAAAGGAAGAGUAGCCACUAUUGCUUUUAGGAAAGCAAGGUCAGGAACAGAAAUCCAUUGCAAUCACAUAAAAAAAAUAUAACUAUUUGAGAAUCAUGCUCAGCAAGAGAAAUAUGAAAGCUUUGGCCAAAGGGACAGAAGAAAGAUAUUAAAGAGAAAAGUAGCAUCUAUAGUGUUUGUUUACUUUCUUCAUCAAUCAAUUCCCUUCUCUUUUUCAACCAAACCACUUUUCUAACUCUCCUCUCUCAUUCUCUUCCUC
rnacentral:misc_RNA from 1 species